rnacentral:rRNA from 1 species
UACAGAGGUCCCAAGCGUUGUUCGGAUUCACUGGGCGUAAAGGGUGCGUAGGUGGUGAGGUAAGUCGGAUGUGAAAGCUCGGAGCUCAACUCCGAAAUGGCAUUGGAAACUACCUUGCUCGAGGGUUGGAGGGGGGACUGGAAUGCUUGGUGUAGCAGUGAAAUGCGUAGAUAUCGGGAGGAACAUCUGUGGCGAAGGCGACACCCUGGACCAGCACUGACACUGAGGCACGAAAGCGUGGGGAGCAAACAGG